rnacentral:rRNA from 1 species
UACGGAGGGGGCUAGCGUUGUUCGGAAUUACUGGGCGUAAAGCGCACGUAGGCGGCUUUGCAAGUCAGCGGUGAAAGCCCGGGGCUCAACCCCGGAAUUGCCUUUGAGACUGCAUCGCUAGAAUUGUGGAGAGGUAAGUGGAAUUCUGAGUGUAGAGGUGAAAUUCGUAGAUGUUCGGAAGAACACCAGUGGCGAAGGCGACUUACUGGACACAUAUUGACGCUGAGGUGCGAAAGCGUGGGGAGCGAACAGG